AUUGAACGCUGGCGGCAUGCCUUACACAUGCAAGUCGAACGGCAGCACGGGAGCAAUCCUGGUGGCGAGUGGCGAACGGGUGAGUAAUACAUCGGAACGUGCCCAAUCGUGGGGGAUAACGCAGCGAAAGCUGUGCUAAUACCGCAUACGAUCUACGGAUGAAAGCAGGGGAUCGCAAGACCUUGCGCGAAUGGAGCGGCCGAUGGCAGAUUAGGUAGUCGGUGAGGUAAAGGCUCACCAAGCCGUCGAUCUGUAGCUGGUCUGAGAGGACGACCAGCCACACUGGGACUGAGACACGGCCCAGACUCCUACGGGAGGCAGCAGUGGGGAAUUUUGGACAAUGGGCGAAAGCCUGAUCCAGCCAUGCCGCGUGCAGGAUGAAGGCCUUCGGGUUGUAAACUGCUUUUGUACGGAACGAAACGGCCUUUUCUAAUAAAGAGGGCUAAUGACGGUACCGUAAGAAUAAGCACCGGCUAACUACGUGCCAGCAGCCGCGGUAAUACGUAGGGUGCAAGCGUUAAUCGGAAUUACUGGGCGUAAAGCGUGCGCAGGCGGUUAUGUAAGACAGUUGUGAAAUCCCCGGGCUCAACCUGGGAACUGCAUCUGUGACUGCAUAGCUAGAGUACGGUAGAGGGGGAUGGAAUUCCGCGUGUAGCAGUGAAAUGCGUAGAUAUGCGGAGGAACACCGAUGGCGAAGCAAUCCCCUGGACCUGUACUGACGCUCAUGCACGAAAGCGUGGGGAGCAAACAGG
rnacentral:rRNA from 1 species